rnacentral:rRNA from 1 species
UACGUAGGGGGCGAGCGUUAUCCGGAUUCACUGGGUGUAAAGGGAGCGUAGACGGCCAAGCAAGCCAGGGGUGAAAGCCCGGGGCCCAACCCCGGGACUGCUUUGGAAACUGUGCAGCUAGAGUGCGGGAGAGGUAAGCGGAAUUCCUAGUGUAGCGGUGAAAUGCGUAGAUAUUAGGAGGAACACCAGUGGCGAAGGCGGCUUACUGGACCGUAACUGACGUUGAGGCUCGAAAGCGUGGGGAGCAAACAGG